rnacentral:lncRNA from 14 species
AUGGACAAUCACCCAAAAGUGGUAAUUUGCCAAGAAGACCAUAUAAAGAAGGAAGGUCAUGCAGUAAUUGUGCAAAUGGGGACACCUGUGAAAAUAAAUUGUGUAGAAAUGCAGAACGUGAUAAACUUACCUGUACGUAUUACAGUUUUCCACUACUACUUAUGUUCCUCAGUUACUUUAAAUAUAUAUACUCCAAGUAAAUCUUACAUCUAUAUGCUUAUUUAUAGAUUAUCCAGGAUGGCAACCCCCUUGGGAGUCCCACAACACGUGCAGCGAGGCUUGUGUCAGUCUUGUGGUUUUGAGAAUACUACUGUUAGUUAUUGCUUUUGCCUCUGCUUAUUUUAUGAGAACCUACUUUACAGACAUGACUAUAAACACCUAAUUGGAUUUGAAACACACAGUUCUUCUGAAGAUACUUGCUAAUGAAAUAAGCAAAAAGUCAUACUGAUGUGACGUUAAUGACAACUUGCUUUGACAGUAAUUUUGUUCCUAUUGUUUUAUGCUCUUUAGAGAAAGCCAACAUGCCAAAAAAAAAAAAAAGUGAAAUUAUAUGUGGGUAAAACCCAUACUGGGAAAAUAUUAAGCUAAAGAUGGUAUCUGGUAAGGUUUGGAGCAUUAUUUUUAAAUACAGGAUUUCCCAAAACUGUGACAUACUCUGUUCCUGCAAUUCAAGGACAAACUAUGUGUCAGUUAAACAGCUCUUACAAUUCAUACUAAGUCAGUCUUUGGAAUCACAAUUGCUUAAUUUUUAUGCUGAGAGAAAGCUAGCAUCAUACUAUGUAGUCAGGCCUGUUUUCUAGAGUGAUAGAAUGUUCUGAAUAAAAUAUAUAAAUAAGAUUUUAUAGAAGGAUAG